GGGUUGUGAGGUUAAGCGACUAAGCGUACACGGUGGAUGCCCUGGCAGUCAGAGGCGAUGAAGGACGUGCUAAUCUGCGAAAAGCGCCGGUGAGGUGAUAUGAACCGUUAUAACCGGCGAUGUCCGAAUGGGGAAACCCAGUGUGACUCGUCACACUAUCAUUAACUGAAUCCAUAGGUUAAUGAGGCGAACCGGGGGAACUGAAACAUCUAAGUACCCCGAGGAAAAGAAAUCAACCGAGAUUCCCCCAGUAGCGGCGAGCGAACGGGGAGGAGCCCAGAGCCUGAAUCAGCAUGUGUGUUAGUGGAAGCGUCUGGAAAGGCGCGCGAUACAGGGUGACAGCCCCGUACACAAAAGCGCAU
rnacentral:rRNA from 1 species